rnacentral:lncRNA from 1 species
GCCAAGUUCGACAAGAAAAAAGAUGGUUAACUAAACACCACUUAUUGAAAUUACUACAGAAUUCAAAAAUAGCAAAGGAGGCUACAUCUACUAGGGGACUUCAGCAGACGACCCUUAGCUGACUACACCCUUAGCUACCUCCUGAUAAACCACGCUGACAACAGCCUCAUUCUGCUCAACAAAAACCAUCUGCUCGGUAGCCCCAGCUGCCUACUCCUUCACAUCUACCCUAGCCUCAUCUGCUGCGUCACCUUUGGCGUUGUCUUCCUCCAUUGUAGCUUCAUCAGCUAUGUGCUCUUCAACUGCCUCUACAUCCACAGCAUUGAUCUAUCCAUUUUGAGCAGGGGCAGGUCAAGAUUGAGCUGCUUACCAUCUUCAUAUUCGAUGGGGCAGCACCCCUCGGGUGUGGUAUUUUCAUUCCAUAUUGUUUUGCUGGGAGAAAGCGAAGCGAAGAGGAAGAAGGGAUCUUGAGACGAAUAUUCUCUUAGGCGAAAAUCACUC